UUUUUGUACUGGAACAAUGAAAGUUCUAAUGAAAGCCAGCCUUAGCUUGAUGUGGGAAUAUAAAGGAGGUAAUGUAAAAAGCAUUCUGUCAAGUACUAUUGAGUCAAGUACAAAGCAAUCCCUGACCACAAAAGGAAUGUGUAAAAGUGAAAAACUUGAGCCCUGACCACAAAAAGAAAAAGUGAAAGUGAAAAAUUUAUACUUUCUCUAGGUACCUAUACGUGUAUUUUUGGACCUAUCCUCAUUGCCCUGUAUACCUUUAAGCAAGCCAGUGGAACUCUUAAGACUAGAUUUAAUGACUCCGUAUUUGAACACCUCUAACAGAGAAGUAAAGGUAUACGUUUGUAAAUCUGGAAGACUGACUGCUAUUCCAUUUUGGUAUCAUAUGUACCUUGAUGAAG
rnacentral:lncRNA from 10 species